ACUUCCUUUGGCCGGCCUCCCAUCUCGUUCCAUAUCCUGGCAGGGUGAGCAGGGGUGUCUGUAAAAGGCUUGCUUUCCCCUUCUGCGCAGAGCAUGAACUAUUCAUCGUUAUGGGCCGAGAACAGUUCUUGCAGGUUUCCCUCCGUAACCGGGCAAAAACCAGGCCCCAUGCGUAAUUCCCGGCCUGCGUGUGGCUACUUCCAAACGCCUUUCCCCAGCACAAGACCUCAGCUUCUCACUGAAUCUCAGGCCUGGCUUCGUUCUUUGGCCCUGCCGUGGAUUGGGAUUCAGCAGGAUGGCAACUGCAUGGCUGCCCAGGUCCUUCUGGUUGUGCUACGUGGGACACUGACUCAGCAUGGCCUGAUGAGUGGUGCCAGGUCCGCGCCCAGGAUCCAAACUGGUGAACCCUGGGCCGCCAAAGUGGAGCAUGCAAACUUAACUGCUCGGCCAUGGGGCCAGCCAUGACAAAAUUAUUUUUUAAAUGUAAUACCAAGUAUUGUUGAGGGUGCUGGGAAAUGCACACUGUUGGAGAAAUUAUAAAUUGGUGCAAACUUUCUGGGAAGAAAUUUGACAAUGUUAUUUAUGUCCAGUGCUUGUCCAUAACCAACAAUUCUACUUUUAGGAAUGCAUCCAAAGUAAAUAAUUAAAUAAAAAAGGAUGUAUGCAAAAAUUUAGCUAUAAGAAUGACUGUUAUAAUCACUAAAAAUCAGAAAACAGCCUGACUAUCCAAUGAUAAGUUAUGGGUCAAAAAAGGAUAUGUCCACCCAUUGGAAUAUCAUGUAUUUAUUAAAAUAAUAAUGUGAACUGUUAUUUAAUGACCUGGAAUAAUACUCCAUAUUGUGGAACAGCUUUGGACUGCACAUCUAAAUUCUCUAGGCCAUAGCUAAAUUCAAAUAAAUUGCUCACUCUUGACUCCAUGUUUUUCCAAAAAACAAAACAAAAAAGCCUAUUUAUUAGGUAGUUGUCAUAAUUAAAAAUUGCGCUUCUAGUCUA
rnacentral:lncRNA from 1 species